rnacentral:misc_RNA from 1 species
GAGAAGAACGUAGCGAAAUGCGAUAAGUAGUGUGAAUUGCAGAAUUCAGUGAAUCAUCGAAUCUUUGAACGCACAUUGCGCCCUUUGGUAUUCCUUAGGGCAUGCCUGUUCGAGCGUCAUUUAAACCUUCAAGCUAAGCUUGGUGUUGGGUGACUGUCCGCUUCACGGCGGACUCGCCUCAAAAUUAUUGGCGGCCGGUACAUUGGCUUCGAGCGCAGCAGAAACGCGAACUCGGGCCCGUCGUAUUGGCUCCCAGAAGCUAUCUUCACAAUUUUGACCUCGGAUCAGGUAGGGAUACCCGCUGAACUUAAGCAUAUCAGUAAGCGGAGGA